rnacentral:rRNA from 1 species
CCUACGGGGGGCAGCAGUGGGGAAUAUUGGACAAUGGGGGGAACCCUGAUCCAGCCAUGCCGCGUGUGUGAAGAAGGCCCUCGGGUUGUAAAGCACUUUCAGUGAGGAAGAACGCCUGGUGGUUAAUACCCAUCAGGAAAGACAUCACUCACAGAAGAAGCACCGGCUAACUCCGUGCCAGCAGCCGCGGUAAUACGGAGGGUGCGAGCGUUAAUCGGAAUUACUGGGCGUAAAGCGCGCGUAGGUGGCUUGAUAAGCCGGUUGUGAAAGCCCCGGGCUCAACCUGGGAACGGCAUCCGGAACUGUCAAGCUAGAGUGCAGGAGAGGAAGGUAGAAUUCCCGGUGUAGCGGUGAAAUGCGUAGAGAUCGGGAGGAAUACCAGUGGCGAAGGCGGCCUUCUGGACUGACACUGACACUGAGGUGCGAAGGCGUGGGUAGCAAACAGGAUUAGAUACCCUUGUAGUC